rnacentral:rRNA from 1 species
GACGAACGCUGGCGGCGUGCUUAACACAUGCAAGUCGAACGAAGUGGCGAACGGGUGAGUAACGCGUAAUCAACCUGCCCUUCAGCGGGGGACAACAGUUGGAAACGACUGCUAAUACCGCAUAAUGAAGGAGGGGAUUGCGUCUGAUUAGUUCGUUGGAGGGGUAACGGCCCACCAAGGCGAAGAUCAGUAGCCGGUCUGGGAGGAGAAACGGCCACAUUGGUAUUGAGACACGGCCCAGACUCCUACGGGAGGCAGCAGUGGGGAAUCUUCCGCAAUGGACGAAAGUCUGACGGAGCAACGCGGCGUGAGUGAUGACGGCCUUCGGGUUGUAAAGCUCUGUUAAUCGGGACGCGGUACCGGAAUAGAAAGCCACGGCUAACUACGUGCCAGCCGCCGCGGUAAUUC